rnacentral:rRNA from 1 species
AUUUAAGUCUAGCCUGCCCAAUGAAUAUUUAAUGGCCGCAGUAUUUUAACUGUGCGAAGGUAGCAUAAUAAUUAGUUUUUUAAUUGAAAACUGGUAUGAAUGGUUGGACGAGAAAAUAACUGUCUCGAUUUAAUUUAAAUUAAAAUUUUAUUUUUAAGUUAAAAAGCUUAAAUAUUUUUAAAAGACGAGAAGACCCUAUAGAGUUUUAUAUUAAAUAUAAAUUUAGUUUAUAAAGUAUUAAAUUAAUUUUAUUUGUAUUUAUUAUUUUAUUGGGGUGAUAUAAAAAUUAAAAUAACUUUUUAUUUUAUAAACCAUUUAUAAAUGAAUAUAUGAUCCAUUAUUUAUGAUUAAAAGAAUAAAUUACCUUAGGGAUAACAGCGUAAUUUUUUUUUAAAGUUCUUAUUGAAAAAAAAGUUUGCGACCUCGAUGUUGGAUUAAAA